rnacentral:rRNA from 1 species
UACGUAGGUGGCAAGCGUUGUCCGGAUUUAUUGGGUUUAAAGGGUGCGUAGGCGGUCUUGUAAGUCAGUGGUGAAAUACGGCAGCUCAACUGUCGAGGUGCCAUUGAUACUGUAGGACUUGAGUACAGACGAGGUAGGCGGAAUUGACGGUGUAGCGGUGAAAUGCUUAGAUAUCGUCAAGAACACCGAUAGCGAAGGCAGCUUACUAGGCUGUAACUGACGCUGAGGCACGAAAGCGUGGGGAGCAAACAGG